rnacentral:misc_RNA from 1 species
UCCGGUUUGUCACCGGCAGUCUCCCUAGAGUGCCCUUGCGUGGCAACUAAGAACGAGGGUUGCGCUCGUUGCGGGACUUAACCCAACACCUCACGGCACGAGCUGACGACAGCCAUGCAGCACCUGUACAAGCUCACCUUGCGGUACCCCGACUUUCAUCAGGAUUAGCUUGCGUUUCAAGCCUAGGUAAGGUUCUUCGCGUUGCGUCGAAUUAAACCACAUGCUCCACUGCUUGUGCGGGCCCCCGUCAAUUCCUUUGAGUUUCAACCUUGCGAUUGUACUUCCCAGGUGGAAUACUUAACGCGUUAGCUGCGACACUGGGAGGCUUACCCUCUCAACGUCUAGUUCUCAUCGUUUGUGGCGUGGACUAC